rnacentral:rRNA from 1 species
CACGUAGGGGGCAAGCGUUGUCCGGAUUUAUUGGGCGUAAAGAGCUCGUAGGCGGCUCGGUAAGUCGGGUGUGAAAUCUCGGGGCUUAACUCCGAAACUGCAUUCGAUACUACCGUGCUUGAGGACUGGAGAGGAGACUGGAAUUUACGGUGUAGCGGUGAAAUGCGUAGAUAUCGUAAGGAAGACCAGUGGCGAAGGCGGGUCUCUGGACAGUUCCUGACGCUGAGGCACGAAGGCCAGGGGAGCAAACGGG